AAAGAAGGUCCGUUGACUCAACACCUGGUCAGCUGCUCUCAUGUUCUCAACAAAAGCACCAAACUUAUGUGGAAGACCUUAAGUGGAUGCAAUUGUCACUGCAGUUGGAAGCCAAUCAACGCGUUGUGAGUGGGAGCCCGCUGGUACUUUCCAAUGGUCCUUGAUUAAAAAGGAAGCUCUUGGCUAUCUUCAAGCAGCAGGAGAGGAAACAGCACGGUGUAGCCAGCAUUUGGCCAACAGGGAAAGGAUUUACAAGAAAACAGGAGUAGGAAGUAGAAAGAGCAGCCAGGACUCUCGCACAAGCAGAAAUACAGAUAGCAAUGCAGUUACUUACACUGGCAUCGUGGAGAUAGAGAAAUCCAAACUAACAAUGAACACUGAGAGCCUGAACUUCUGUAAGUGUGGUAGAGCAAGCCUGUAAUGCUGUAACAGGACAGGAGGAAGCUUACCUUUGUUGCAAAAUGCAGAUUUACUGUUCUCCAUGGCUGCAGCAGUAAAUAUUCUCAGGUAGAGCAUGUCAGAUUGUUUACUUCAGUUAUGUAAGAGAAUGCACACAAGAAACAACUCUCUGACAGCCCACAGACUUUCACCCAAAAGCAGUAUCUGCGACAACACCGGUGUUGCAGAAGUAAUAAUAAAUCACAAGCUGAGACUGAUCAUCUGGAGCAGGUUCCUUUUAAGCUACAGCCUGUCCUGCUGCUAUUAAAGUCAGAGACCAUUCCGUGCUCUGUCUUUUUGUCACUGAUGCAGAAAAUGGACUUUCUCAGCCUUCAGAGGCAACCUGGUAUCCACACUACUAGACACAUUUUCAGAAUAGUGUUUUACUCAGCCUGCCUGGCUGAUACACUGCCCUGAAAAACGAGGGCUGUGCAAUGCUGGCAGUGGGUGCAGCUACAGCACCUCCUGCAACUGAUUCUUCUAGGAAAAAAGUUCAUUUGGGAAGGACAAAGAAUACCAUAAUCAAGCAACCAGCAGUAACCAGAUGCUCCAUUUGUGGGGAAGUAUAUAUUUUUUUAACUUGGAUAUUCAUGCCCUAUAACAACUAAACCCAUGUAAGUGGGACCGCAACUCACAGAAUUAUUGAAUAACUGAAGAUACCUGGAAUUUGUCAUUGAACAGAGGCAGUGUUUCUCCCUGUCACAUAUGAACAUGCUUUGCCUGCAUAAAGAGAGAUGUUGGGCACCUCUGUGAUGGGAAAGCCUGUAAAAGAAUGGAGAGGGGAAAAAAAGGAGGAAAAACAAACACUUGUUUAUAGGCGGUGUCAGGAAAAGAAAUAACCUCCGCAACAAUGCCUGGGCCUCCAGGGCUGUGGGGGUGGCACUUUCCACCUGCACAAAAUUUACUGGAAACAUAAAAUCCAACAAGGAGAAAUGUAUCAUUUGUGCUGAUAGUCUACUACAGAGAUUCUGCUGGGAAAAUUACCUCUCAUCACUCGUUUCCUCCUCGUGCGGGAUCACCUCUACUCUUCCCAUCCAGAAAGACUGGUUAAUCAGGGUCCAUACCCACGCGGCCAUGUUGUCCUCUUGCAUUAUGGUAAGUGGACAAUACCCAAUCUCAGGCAAGGUUUGGCCAGGACACCAGGUUCAUUUCAUCUCCUGGACGUGGUUUUGAGACAGACUCAAAGAGGACCGUUAAAAUAUCCAAAAUGGUAACAGUCAUUAAGAGCGCUUCUGAAUGUGUUAAGAGUUUCACGAUUCCUCUUUAGACUUAUUUCAUAUUACACUAAGGAUUUGUUAAAUUAUUUUCCUGGGUGGUAGCUUUUUGUAUUUUCC